rnacentral:rRNA from 1 species
GAUGAACGCUGGCGGCGUGCCUAAUACAUGCAAGUCGAGCGAACGGACGAGAAGCUUGCUUCUCUGAUGUUAGCGGCGGACGGGUGAGUAACACGUGGAUAACCUACCUAUAAGACUGGGAUAACUUCGGGAAACCGGAGCUAAUACCGGAUAAUAUUUUGAACCGCAUGGUUAAAAAGUGAAAGACGGUCUUGCUGUCACUUAUAGAUGGAUCCGCGCUGCAUUAGCUAGUUGGUAAGGUAACGGCUUACCAAGGCAACGAUGCAUAGCCGACCUGAGAGGGUGAUCGGCCACACUGGAACCGAGACACGGUCCAGACGCCUACGGGAGGCAGCAGUAGGGAAUCUUCCGCAAUGGGCGAAAGCCUGACGGAGCAACGCCGCGUGAGUGAUGAAGGUCUUCGGAUCGUAAAACUCUGUUAUUAGGGAAGAACAUAUGUGUAAGUAACUGUGCACAUCUUGACGGUACCUAAUCAGAAAGCCACGGCUAACUACGUG